GGCCCGAUGCCACGUCUCCGGUAGCUACAGCCUUGACCGGAGAUGCUACAUUGUGCCGAGAGGGAGUUCUUGGACGUUUCACAUUUGAUAGGAACCUGUGGCUGUGAAUCAGUUGGUACACAGAGCCGUUUUUUGUGAUUACACAU
rfam:Triticum aestivum genome assembly, contig: Triticum_aestivum_CS42_TGACv1_scaffold_486916_6AS